AAUUGGAGGGCAAGUCUGGUGCCAGCAGCCGCGGUAAUUCCAGCUCCAAUAGCGUAUAUUAAAGUUGUUGCAGUUAAAAAGCUCGUAGUUGAAUUUCGGGAUCAAUAUUUCGGUCAUGCCGUUGGUAUGCACUGUUAUCAUUGAUCUCUCACCUUCUAAAGAACCAUAAUGCCAUUAAUUUGGUGUUACGGGGAAUUAGGACUGUUACCUUGAAAAAAUUAGAGUGUUUAAAGCAGGCUCACGCUUGAAUACAUUAGCAUGGAAUAAUGAAAUAGGACAUCCGAUUCUAUUUUGUUGGUUUCUAGGAUCGAUGUAAUGAUUAAUAGGGAUAGUUGGGGGCAUUAGUAUUCAAUUGUCAGAGGUGAAAUUCUUGGAUUUAUUGAAGACUAACUACUGCGAAAGCAUUUGCCAAGGAUGUUUUCAUUAAUCAAGAACGAAAGUUAGGGGAUCGAAGACGAUCAGAUACCGUCGUAGUCUUAACCAUAAACUAUGCCGACUAGGGAUCGGAUGAUGUUAAUUUUUUAAUGACUCAUUCGGCGCCUUACGGGAAACCAAAGUGU
rnacentral:rRNA from 1 species